UGCACUCGCGUGGGAACGAGAAGACACU
rnacentral:piRNA from 1 species